UACGGAGGGAGCUAGCGUUGUUCGGAAUUACUGGGCGUAAAGGGUGUGUAGGCGGUUCUUUAAGUUUGGUGUGAAAUCUCCCGGCUCAACCGGGAGGGUGCGCCGAAUACUGAGGGACUAGAGUAUGGGAUGGGAAAGUGGAAUUCCUGGUGUAGCGGUGAAAUGCGUAGAUAUCAGGAGGAACACCUGUGGUGUAGACGGCUUUCUGGACCAUAACUGACGCUGAGGCACGAAAGCGUGGGUAGCAAACAGG
rnacentral:rRNA from 1 species